GUUACUCUGUGACCUGUUACAUCACAGAAAACAGACUUCCAAAUGGAAUUUGGAGAGAAGUAUUGUUGACUAUAAAUUACAGGAGACUUGAAAGUGACAGACAUCUACUCUAGAGAGCUACUCUAUUACAUCAAAGAAAGAAGAAGAAGAAAAAAAAAGGCUAUGUCAACUUCUGAUGAUAAAUUUAGAUCAAGAGCACCCAAAUCAGUAUGCUAAGAUGAGGUUGUCUGGAUGGAAGUGGAGAAUGAGGUAGUCACUCUUGGAUUGCAACAUGUAUGGAUUGUAACAUCAGGAGACUAGGACAAACAUUUUACAGUAAGUUACUACCAGCCUGUUCUACUUUCCAGCUGCUCCAAGCUUAAAGAAAUU
rnacentral:lncRNA from 1 species